rnacentral:rRNA from 1 species
UACAGAGGGUGCGAGCGUUAAUCGGAAUUACUGGGCGUAAAGCGCACGUAGGUGGUUUGAUGAGUUGGAUGUGAAAUACCUGGGCUCAACCUGGGAAUUGCAUUUAAUACUGUUAGACUAGAGUAUGAUAGAGGAUAGAGGAAUUUCCGGUGUAGCGGUGAAAUGCGUAGAUAUCGGAAGGAACAUCAGUGGCGAAGGCGUCUAUCUGGAUUAAUACUGACACUGAGGAGCGAAAGCGUGGGGAUCAAACAGG